UACGUAGGGUGCAAGCGUUAAUCGGAAUUACUGGGCGUAAAGCGUGCGCAGGCGGUUAUGUAAGACAGAUGUGAAAUGCCCGGGCUUAACCUGGGAACUGCAUUUGUGACUGCAUGGCUAGAGUGUGUCAGAGGGGGGUAGAAUUCCACGUGCAGCAGUGAAAUGCGUAGAGAUGUGGAGGAAUACCGAUGGCGAAGGCAGCCCCCUGGGAUAACACUGACGCUCAUGCACGAAAGCGUGGGGAGCAAACAGG
rnacentral:rRNA from 1 species